UAGCCCCGUGGCCUCCUUGCUCUGGAGCUCAGAGUCUUGCCUGGGACCCAUUCCCGUUUCUGGUAGCGCCUGCUCCCUGGUCGACCCUGCUGGUAGUGCAACCUGAGAAAGGGUGGAGAUGGGAGCUAGCUAUGGGCUAAGGGGGCUGUUGCUCAUGGGCUUUGGCUCUCUGCCUUCCAGGGACAUGAGAUCAAUUAUGAGAAAAGGAGUGAGGUGAGCAGCUGUGGCCUCCCCGUGCGGAAGGUGGGGCUGUGGCAAUCAGAGACUCCUCCGGGGAAGACCUUCUCUGGCCCGAUGCCUUGGGCCUUGCUUUUCUUGGGAGAGUUCGGCACCCAGAGCUGGGAAAGCCGUCCCAUUGGUGCGUGGGGGAAGGGGCUGGCAUCAAGGACACCUUCCUGCAGGAGGAGCUAUUUCAAGCCAACUGUGAGAACGAGCAAGUCCUGCACGGAAUUGGAGGGAAGGAGGGUUCCCAUGUGAGCCAAGACCCCAGACCAGCUCCUUGACCCUCUUCUCACCUGUCUGAGUCCCCAGCACGGUCCCCCACCCAGGCCCUGUCUGCAUCAUGUCCUUUCUCCCAGGAAUUCAAAGUCACCCAGCAGAUCUUCCUGCUCCAGGAGGCAGUCGAUCUUUACCACAUUGAGGCUGAGGAGCGAUUUGGGGCCUGGUUCCAGGCCAUGGAGCUCCUCAGCGAGGAUGAGAGCUACAGCCUGUCCUGCCACCUGGAGCCCCCACAGGAGAAGGCAGGCAAGAUGUGCCGGUAUUUUCUGCCCAAGAAGAACCGCGCAUCUCUCAGCUCAGGGCUCGUCACCAGACCCCUGACGCAGAACCCAGCAACAGUGGCAGAUCCCGGUCCUUCCAACAGCUCGAGUGCAGCCUGCUCUUCAGCGGCGGGGACACAGCUGGGAAACACGCGGGGCCCCAGGCCGGCUCCUCCCAUGCUGAUGGGGAGAAGAACAUUCUAAGCCUUUUCCUGGGACCCCUGGAGCCCAAGAGGGAGGGGACGACCCCACCCCACAUGCCUGGCAUCUCCACCCCAGCGCCUGUUUACCACUUGGGAAGGGGCCGUAUUUCUUUGGUGUUAAUAGUUAGUGCUAGUUUUGAAUUUGAUGUUAAAAUCCUGUUUCUGUUCCAGCCUGCGAGUCAUGGUCUGGUUCUUGCCCCUCCUGUGCUCGUGUCAAGGAGACACAGACUCUCGCGUUCCUCCUGGAAUGAAGAAAUCUUGCAGGGUCUCGGCUUAUUGUAUGUGAGAGAAGGGAGAAGGGCCAGGCCCCUCCCUGGAUACUGAAGGACACCUCCAUGCCCCCCUUACUCAGAGGACGGGUUCAUUUCAGUGUGGUUCACGUGGGCCAGGAGCAGAGACAGCACCCAGAACUCCUGGCAUUUAGAGGGUGGAGGUACUUUCACAGGAAGAGCAACAACCACUGGAAUGCGGGUUCUCUAAAAUGGCACCGGCCAGCACCACUCCCUGCCCCAGGACAGUGGCUGCUUUUCCACCCCUCUGGAGGAGAGGCCACAUUUUCGGCUUCUCUUGUGGAGGUUCCUCUUCACCAGAUGUUAGGAACUUGUUGUUUUCUAAUCAGGCUCUGGACAGCAGCAGCUCUAAGUGCAGAGAACGAUGUAAAAGCUCAAAACGUGCAUGUGGAGGGUCAAGGCCGGAGAAGGUCAUGUGCAGAUGGACUAAGGGCAGGCAGGACCCUCCCUCCCCCGGCCCCUCUGGGGGCUCCAUGUUCACCCUUCACCUGGAUU